AUUGAACGCUGGCGGCAUGCUUUACACAUGCAAGUCGAACGGUAACAGGCCUUCGGGUGCUGACGAGUGGCGAACGGGUGAGUAAUGCAUCGGAACGUGCCCAGAGGUGGGGGAUAACGCAGCGAAAGCUGUGCUAAUACCGCAUGUGAUCUGAGGAUGAAAGCGGGGGACCAGGCAGCAAUGUUUGGCCUCGCGCCUUUGGAGCGGCCGAUGUCAGAUUAGGUAGUUGGUGGGGUAAAGGCCUACCAAGCCGACGAUCUGUAGCUGGUCUGAGAGGACGACCAGCCACACUGGGACUGAGACACGGCCCAGACUCCUACGGGAGGCAGCAGUGGGGAAUUUUGGACAAUGGGCGCAAGCCUGAUCCAGCAAUGCCGCGUGCGGGAAGAAGGCCUUCGGGUUUUAAACCGCUUUUGUACGGAACGAAAAGGCUCUGGCUAAUACCUGGAGCUGAUGACGGUACCGUAAGAAUAAGCACCGGCUAACUACGUG
rnacentral:rRNA from 1 species